rnacentral:rRNA from 1 species
CUUUAGGCGGUGGCUUCCGAAGUUAACGCGUUAAUUCGACCGCCUGGGGAGUACGGCCGCAAGGUUAAAACUCAAAUGAAUUGAGGGGGGCCCGCCCAAGCGGUGGAGCAUGUGGUUUAUUUGGAUGCAACGCGAAGACCCUUACUUACUCUUGACAUCCAGAGAACUUUCCAGAGAUGGAUUGUUCCUUUCGGGAACUGAGAGACAGGUGUUGCAUGGCUGUCGUCAGUUCGUGUUGUGAAAUGUUGGGUUAAUUCCCGCAACGAGCGCAACCCUUUUCUUUUGUUGCAAGCGGUUCGGCCGGGAACUCAAAGGAGACUGCCAGUGAUAAACUGGAGGAAGGUGGGGAUGACGUCAAGUCAUCAUGGCCCUUACGAGUAGGGCUACACACGUGCUACAAUGGCGUAUACAAAGAGAAGCGACCUCGCGAGAGCAAGCGGACCUCAUAAAGUAUUCGUAGUCCGGAUUGGAGUCUGCAACUCGACUCCAUGAAGUCGGAAUCGCUAGUAAUCGUAGAUCAGAAUGCUACGGUGAAUACGUUCCCGGGCCUUGUACACACCGCCCGUCACACCAUGGGAGUGGGUUGCAAAAGAAGUAGUU